rnacentral:rRNA from 1 species
UACAGAGGGUGCAAACGUUGUUCGGAAUUACUGGGCGUAAAGCGCGUGCAGGCGGCCUUGCAAGUCGGACGUGAAAUCCCACGGCUCAACCGUGGAAGUGCAUUCGAAACUGCGAGGCUGGAGUCCUGGAGAGGAAAGUGGAAUACUCGGUGUAGAGGUGAAAUUCGUAGAUAUCGAGUGGAACACCGGUGGCGAAGGCGGCAUCCUGGACCGGCAUUGACGCUGAGGAGCGAAAGCCAGGGGAGCAAACGGG